rnacentral:rRNA from 1 species
AACGAACGCUGGCGGCAGGCUUAACACAUGCAAGUCGAACGCGUGUAGCAAUACACGAGUGGCGCACGGGUGAGUAACGCGUGGAUAUCUGCCUUUUGGUUCGGAAUAACCCCGGGAAACUGGGGGUAAUACCGGAUGGUUCCUGCGGGAUAAAGAUUUAUCGCCAAAGGAUGAGUCCGCGUACGAUUAGCUAGUUGGUGAGGUAAUGGCUCACCAAGGCGACGAUCGUUAGCUGGUCUGAGAGGACGAUCAGCCACACUGGGACUGAGACACGGCCCAGACUCCUACGGGAGGGAGCAGUGGGGAAUAUUGGACAAUGGGGGCAACCCUGAUCCAGCCAUGCCGCGUGAGUGAUGAAGGCCUUCGGGUUGUAAAGCUCUUUUGGCGGGGACGAUGAUGACGGUACCCGCAGAAUAAGCCCCGGCUAACUUCGUGCCAGCAGCCGCCGUAA